AACGAACGCUGGCGGCAGGCCUAACACAUGCAAGUCGAGCGAGGACUUCGGUCCUAGCGGCGGACGGGUGAGUAACGCGUGGGAACGUGCCCUUUGCUUCGGAAUAGCCCUGGGAAACUGGGAGUAAUACCGGAUGAGCCCUUUGGGGGAAAGAUUUAUCGGCGAAGGAUCGGCCCGCGUUGGAUUAGGUAGUUGGUGGGGUAAUGGCCUACCAAGCCGACGAUCCAUAGCUGGUUUGAGAGGAUGAUCAGCCACACUGGGACUGAGACACGGCCCAGACUCCUACGGGAGGCAGCAGUGGAGAAUCUUAGACAAUGGGGGAAACCCUGAUCUAGCCAUGCCGCGUGAGCGAUGAAGGCCUUAGGGUUGUAAAGCUCUUUCAGCUGGGAAGAUAAUGACGGUACCAGCAGAAGAAGCCCCGGCUAACUCCGUG
rnacentral:rRNA from 1 species